rnacentral:rRNA from 1 species
GACGAACGCUGGCGGCGUGCUUAACACAUGCAAGUCGAACGGAAAGGCCCUGCUUUUGUGGGGUGCUCGAGUGGCGAACGGGUGAGUAACACGUGAGUAACCUGCCCUUGACUUUGGGAUAACUUCAGGAAACUGGGGCUAAUACCGGAUAGGAGCUCCUGCUGCAUGGUGGGGGUUGGAAAGUUUCGGCGGUUGGGGAUGGACUCGCGGCUUAUCAGCUUGUUGGUGGGGUAGUGGCUUACCAAGGCUUUGACGGGUAGCCGGCCUGAGAGGGUGACCGGCCACAUUGGGAAUGAGAUACGGCCCAGACUCCUACGGGAGGCAGCAGGGGGGAAUAUUGCAAAAUGGGCGGAAGCCUGAAGCAGCAACGCCGCGUGCGGGAUGACGGCCUUCGGGUUGUAAACCGCUUUCGCCUGUGACGAAGCGUGAGUGACGGUAAUGGGUAAAGAAGCACCGGCUAACUACGUG